CUAUGACUAUUUAAAAUCAUUCUGGAUAUAUUAGUUAAUGGAAUUAACCAAAACACUAAAGUAGAAUAUAAAUAUCAGAAAUAAAGAAACAAAAUUAUCUUGAGUUUCAGAUAAUUAUAUACUUGGAAAACCCAAGAAAAUCAACAGAUAAAUAAUUAGACCUAUUAAAAAUGUUCAAGAAUCUUUACAGUAACUGUUACAGACUAAAUUGUGUACUCCCCAAAUUCAUAUAAUAAAGCUCUAUACUCCAAUGUGACUAUAUUUGGGCCUACAAAGAGAUGAUAAUAAUGGUUAAGUGAGGUCAUAAAGCUGGAACUUUAAGUUGAUUGGGCUGCUUCUUAAUAAGAAGAGGAAGCAACACCAGAGAUAUUUCUGUCUCCAUUUGUACAUACAAAAGAGGCCAUGUGAGGACACAGGUGAGAAGACUUCAUCCACAAGUCGGGGAAGAGAGACCUCACCAGAAACUGACCCUGAGCUUGGAGUUAGAGCCUGCACAAUUGUGCCAUUCCUCUCUUCUGAGCUCCUCUCUGGCCAACUUUAACUCAUCGAUUGGUUCUGCCACCCGCAACGUUGGCUCCAAAGGCCUGUAGCGUUGUUCUAAUACUUCGGUGAUAUCUCGGAAGGGCCCCUGACAAGACAGGAUGAGGAACAUAUUUUAUAUGGAAGAUUUUUUUGAGGAUCACUCACCCAGAGGGAAAUGAGUUACCAUGUUGUGAGGCAGCUCUGUGAAGAUGCCAAUGUGAGGAGGGGCUGAGGCAUGACAACACCCAACCAUAGACAGGCUCUCGCUAUGUUGCCCAGGCUGGUUGUGAACUCCUGGGCUCAAGUGAUCCUCCCACCUCACCCUCCCAAAGUGCUGGGAUUAUAGGCAUGAGCCACUGUGCCUCACCUGGCUGACAUCUGGACUACAACAUCAUGAGAGAACUUGAGUAAGAGGAACUCACCAAAGGCUGUACCUAGAAUGGCAAACCCAUAGAAACUGUGAAGUAACAAAUGUGGUAGAAUUUCAGACCGAGGAAAAGAACGGGCGCUUGUACAAGCUAGCCAAUCAGUAAGGCUGGUGGAGUCC
rnacentral:lncRNA from 1 species